rnacentral:rRNA from 1 species
AUGCCGGGCGGAGGGUUCGCCGUGUCGGCGCCUUCCGGCGUGGAGUUCGAGGCCAAGAUCACGCCCAUCGUCAUCAUCUCCUGCAUCAUGGCGGCCACCGGCGGCCUCAUGUUCGGCUACGACGUCGGCAUCUCAGGCGGAGUGACGUCGAUGGACGAUUUCCUGCGCGAGUUCUUCCCGGCGGUGUUGCGCCGGAAGAACCAGGACAAGGAGAGCAAUUACUGCAAGUACGACAACCAGGGCCUGCAGCUCUUCACGUCGUCGCUUUACCUCGCCGGCCUCACCGCCACCUUCUUCGCCUCCUACACCACCCGCCGCCUCGGCCGCCGCCUCACCAUGCUCAUCGCCGGCGUCUUUUUCAUCAUCGGCGUCAUCUUCAACGGGGGCGCGCAGAACCUCGCCAUGCUCAUCAUCGGCAGGAUCCUGCUCGGCUGCGGCGUCGGCUUCGCCAACCAGGCCGUUCCCCUGUUCCUGUCGGAGAUCGCGCCGACGAGGAUCCGCGGCGGGCUCAACAUCCUGUUCCAGCUGAACGUGACCAUCGGCAUCCUGUUCGCGAACCUGGUGAACUACGGCACGAGCAAGAUCCACCCAUGGGGCUGGCGGCUGUCGCUGUCGCUGGCCGGCAUCCCGGCGGCGAUGCUCACCCUGGGCGCGCUCUUCGUCACCGACACCCCCAACAGCCUCAUCGAGCGCGGCCACCUGGAGGAGGGCAGGGCGGUGCUCAAGCGCAUCCGCGGCACCGACAACGUGGAGCCGGAGUUCAACGAGAUCGUGGAGGCGAGCCGGAUCGCGCAGGAGGUGAAGCACCCGUUCCGCAACCUGCUCCAGCGCCGGAACCGGCCCCAGCUGGUCAUCGCCGUGCUCCUCCAGAUCUUCCAGCAGUUCACGGGCAUCAACGCCAUCAUGUUCUACGCCCCCGUGCUGUUCAACACGCUGGGGUUCAAGAGCGACGCGUCGCUCUACUCGGCGGUGAUCACCGGCGCCGUCAACGUGCUGGCCACGCUGGUGUCGGUGUACGCCGUGGACCGCGCCGGGCGGCGCGCGCUGCUGCUGGAGGCCGGCGUGCAGAUGUUCCUGUCGCAGGUGGUGAUCGCCGUGGUGCUGGGCAUCAAGGUGACGGACAGGUCCGACAACCUGGGCCACGGGUGGGCCAUCCUGGUGGUGGUCAUGGUGUGCACCUACGUGGCGUCCUUCGCCUGGUCCUGGGGCCCGCUGGGGUGGCUCAUCCCGAGCGAGACGUUCCCGCUGGAGACGCGGUCGGCCGGGCAGAGCGUGACGGUGUGCGUCAACCUGCUCUUCACCUUCCUCAUCGCGCAGGCGUUCCUCUCCAUGCUCUGCCACCUCAAGUUCGCCAUCUUCAUCUUCUUCUCGGCGUGGGUGCUCGUCAUGUCCGUCUUCGUGCUCUUCUUCCUCCCGGAGACCAAGAACGUGCCCAUCGAGGAGAUGACCGACAAGGUGUGGAAGCAGCACUGGUUCUGGAAGAGGUACAUGGACGACGACGACCACCACCACCACAACAUCGCCAACGGCAAGAACGCCACCGUCUGA